rnacentral:rRNA from 1 species
AUACGGAGGGUGCGAGCGUUGUUCGGAAUUAUUGGGCGUAAAGAGCAUGUAGGCGGUCUGUUAAGUCGGGUGUGAAAGCCCGGGGCUCAACCCCGGAAGUGCAUUGGAUACUGGCAGACUUGAGUAUGGGAGAGGAAAGCGGAAUUCCGAGUGUAGGAGUGAAAUCCGUAGAUAUUCGGAGGAACACCAGUGGCGAAGGCGGCUUUCUGGACCAAUACUGACGCUGAGAUGCGAAAGCGUGGGGAGCAAACAGGAUUAGAAACCCCAGUAGUCC